GAUGAACGCUGGCGGCGUGCCUAAUACAUGCAAGUCGAGCGAACAGACGAGGAGCUUGCUCCUCUGACGUUAGCGGCGGACGGGUGAGUAACACGUGGAUAACCUACCUAUAAGACUGGGAUAACUUCGGGAAACCGGAGCUAAUACCGGAUAAUAUAUUGAACCGCAUGGUUCAAUAGUGAAAGACGGUUUUGCUGUCACUUAUAGAUGGAUCCGCGCCGCAUUAGCUAGUUGGUAAGGUAACGGCUUACCAAGGCGACGAUGCGUAGCCGACCUGAGAGGGUGAUCGGCCACACUGGAACUGAGACACGGUCCAGACUCCUACGGGAGGCAGCAGUAGGGAAUCUUCCGCAAUGGGCGAAAGCCUGACGGAGCAACGCCGCGUGAGUGAUGAAGGUCUUCGGAUCGUAGAACUCUGUUAUUAGGGAAGAACAAAUGUGUAAGUAACUAUGCACGUCUUGGCGGUACCUAAUCAGAAAGCCACGGCUAACUACGUG
rnacentral:rRNA from 1 species